AUUGAACGCUGGCGGCAUGCCUUACACAUGCAAGUCGAACGGUAACAGGUCUUCGGAUGCUGACGAGUGGCGAACGGGUGAGUAAUACAUCGGAACGUGCCUAGUAGUAGGGGAUAACUACUCGAAAGAGUGGCUAAUACCGCAUGAGAUCUACGGAUGAAAGCAGGGGAUCGCAAGACCUUGUGCUACUAGAGCGGCCGAUGGCAGAUUAGGUAGUUGGUGGGAUAAAAGCUUACCAAGCCGACGAUCUGUAGCUGGUCUGAGAGGACGAUCAGCCACACUGGGACUGAGACACGGCCCAGACUCCUACGGGAGGCAGCAGUGGGGAAUUUUGGACAAUGGGCGCAAGCCUGAUCCAGCAAUGCCGCGUGCAGGAUGAAGGCCUUCGGGUUGUAAACUGCUUUUGUCAGGGAAGAAAUCCUCUGGGUUAAUACCUCGGGGGGAUGACGGUACCUGAAGAAUAAGCACCGGCUAACUACGUGCCAGCCGCCGCGGUAACAC
rnacentral:rRNA from 1 species